rnacentral:rRNA from 1 species
UACGGAGGAUGCGAGCGUUAUCCGGAUUUAUUGGGUUUAAAGGGUGCGCAGGCGGUCUGUUAAGUCAGCGGUCAAAGCCCGGGGCUCAACCCCGAAACUGCCUCUAAUACUGUUGGACUAGAGAAUAGUUGCGGUAGGCGGAAUGUAUGGUGUAGCGGUGAAAUGCAUAGAUAUCGCGCAGAACCCCGAUUGCGAAGGCAGCGUGCCGUGCCGCCACUGACGCUGAGGCACGAAAGCGCGGGGAUCGAACAGG